rnacentral:rRNA from 1 species
GACGAACGCUGGCGGCGUGCUUAACACAUGCAAGUCGAACGGAAAGGCCCUGCUUUUGUGGGGUGCUCGAGUGGCGAACGGGUGAGUAACACGUGAGUAACCUGCCCUUGACUUUGGGAUAACUUCAGGAAACUGGGGCUAAUACCGGAUAGGAGCUCCUGCUGCAUGGUGGGGGUUGGAAAGUUUCGGCGGUUGGGGAUGGACUCGCGGCGUAUCAGCUUGUUGGUGGGGUAGUGGCUUACCAAGGCUUUGACGGGUAGCCGGCCUGAGAGGGUUACCGGCCACAUUGGGACUGAGAUACGGCCCAGACUCCUACGCGAGGCAGCAGUGGGGAAUAUUGCACAAUGGGCGGAAGCCUGAUGCAGCAACGCCGCGUGCGGGAUGACGGCCUUCGGGUUGUAAACCGCUUUCGCCUGUGACGAAGCGUGAGUGACGGUAAUGGGUAAAGAAGCACCGGCUAACUACGUG